UACUAAAUAUCUGGCAAUGUAUGACAUGAUUUCUAAUACUAUUCCAAAGAAAAUAUAAAAAAAACUGACUCUAUGCUUUGACGAGAGAUUUUAUACAUCUUUGUUACCUGUUAUCUGCCAAGGCCACCAUGAUCCAAACUUCUUAGUCGCUAAUCGUUCCUCCCUAUGGUAGCAUUAUUC